rnacentral:rRNA from 1 species
UACAGAGACUGCAAGCGUUGUUCGGAUUCAUUGGGCGUAAAGGGUCCGCAGGUGGUCGAGUAAGUCGGAUGUGAAAGCUCGUGGCCUAACCACGAUAGGUCAUUCGAAACUGCUCGGCUCGAGGACUGGAGAGGAGACUGGAAUGGUCGGUGUAGCGGUGAAAUGCGUAGAGAUCGACCAGAACACCAGUAGCGAAGGCGAGUCUCUGGACAGUUCCUGACACUCAUGGACGAAAGCCAGGGGAG